UUUUUUUUUACAUUUACAGGCCAUCCACAAACAUAAAAGAGGCGCUGUCAUUGGUUCAGACAUUCCCUGAAUGAUGGAUCAGAAAUUGGCUAUUUCCAGAGACUCCAGAAUGAAAACCAAGCUCUGAGGGAGGAGAACCACACCCUGAGGGAAAGCAAUGCACGAGCAGCUUCGGAUGACAGCGGCUCACUUCAAGAGCAGGUGAAGCAAGUUGGGACAAUGUUGAAGACGUUUGCUUGCACUUGGCAAUCAGGUGCAGAUCAGACCCUAAUGCUGCGACGUCUUGGAGAGUUUGGCGAUGUUGUGUGUAGCAUGGACAACAAAAUGGAAACUAUGCAGCAACAUUUCAGUGCCAAUGUGUCUGUUGGAGAGCCACUGAUGAGGCGGUCCAGGUUAACGUUACGCGUUACCUGAAAGCAUCUGACCGUGAAGGCGGAAAAAGGCGCCGCACAGCUGAGAGGGACCCACAGCCGACCCCUUAAACCUAGGCUGACUACUGACACCCCCGCAUCACUGACAACUGGAACACUUUCUUUAUCCUGCAGUCAGUAACAUCAAGAAGCCAGAAGUGCCAGACUACACUCACCCAAUCCACACUAUUCUCUGUGGAAAUU